AAUAUAAUGGCAAGUAAAAAUUGCGCGAAUCAUCAGGCAGAAUUAUUUCAAUUAUUACAGGAAUCGCUCCGAUCGUCACGAGAAAGAAUCAUUUCAAUCGUCGAAAGAAUCAGUCCAAUCGUCAACUAAAUCACAUCGAACGAUAAAACAGUCGUUUCAUCUUUCAAGAAUCGUUCGAAACUCUGACAGAGUUCUAUCGUUUGUUAUUAGAAAAUCGACUUGAUAUUCGUGCAAUGAAGAAAUCGUUUUGACAUUCAAAAAGCAUCGUCUCGCCAAAUUAAAUUAUCCACAACAUCGUUUCGGUAGCAUAAAGUUCAUCCUACAUAAUAAAUUAAACCGUCGCGGCACCUUCAGGAUUCAGGACUCUAUCCUGAAACAGUCGUUUCAGUAUUAAUUUGCCAGGUAAUUGGUUGCAUGGCAGUCGUGGACUAGCGUGGCUAACUCAAGAUUUACAAGGAGAGCUCAAGAAGGAUCUGAUCUCCGUGAUUAAAAAGUGAUAACACGAUAUAUAUAACGGAUAAGGUGAUUAUUACCUGCACCUUAAUUCACGCGAAUAGUUUUUGAAAUAUCAUCAGUGAAUCAAGGAUGUGAUAUAGUCAAAAGCCGGUCUGAACAUUGUUUAACACAAAGUCGGAAAAGUUUGCAAAUCUAAAGUCAUAAAAAAUUCAGGCACCCCGCAACAGGUAAAUAUUUCUUACAACACUUGAAUAGCUUUUUUUUCACGAACCUAACCCCAAAUCGAUCAUUUCUUCAAUUUUUUUUUUCUUUUUUUUUUACAUAUCAUCAGUAAUUAACAUCUAGCCAAAGAUACAGCGGCUCGCGAAAAUAUUUGAACACUUACAGAAACUUUUCAUCGCUAUAUCGUGUCGAAUGUAGGGAAUAUCUCGAAAUUUCAUUAGCAUUUCAGCAAUUUAAUGAUAUACGACUGUCAUGAAUAUAUUGAUAAAAUUUGAAAUGAUUUUGAAUAUGUGCAUAAUAGAUACAAGAUAUUUAACCCACGCAUACACGCCACAAAACUCACCUAAGUAUUUUAAGCCGAUCAUUUGUUAUAUUAAUAUGUCAGAACAUUUAGUGAGACCGAUUUUAGCAUUAAUUAUACGUUUAAGACCACCAUUUAUGCUGUAUACUAAUUUCUUACUAAGUGGACGAUCUGUAAUAAAUGUCUAAUCAUUUUUAAUACAUUUUCCGACUGACUUUAUAUCUUACCCGUACGAUUGCGAUAAUCGCGUCUCAGAACAGUGUUAAUGAAAUUACAAAAAAUGUUGUAUAACGAACAUAAUAUAUUUAUCGCAGGCGAUAUCUAUUUCCGACUGUAGAAGUUUGUAAGGAAGUAUUCGUCGAAGGCCUGGCUAACUUAAUCGAAAAAAACAUCCGUCCGACAAGCAGCCGAAUAUCUUUCUGCUUACGUUGUACAAAUUUUCUAUGAAUCGUUCGAGUAGUUUUGUGAGCAACUGUACUUGCUUCAGACUAUAUCCCAAAAUAUUGGAGUUUCGCCAAAGUAAUACGUCAUGGUGCAUCGAUGCAUACUAUGUCACGUAUUGUUCACUAAAAUAUAACAGAGCGCAACAUCUUGCGUGUUUUUCAAAUAGCCAUUUCUCUUAAAAAUUUCGAAAACGAUUGAAUUAAUUUUUUGUGGGUACAUCUGUAAUUCGUGAGACCAUUCUACAUUGUUCGAUAUGAAAGGAAUUCAAAGAAGAUGUAAUACAGGUAAUUAUCGGUAAAUCAGGAAAUAAAUUUACGAACGAGGGAACAGUAAACAAUGUGAAAAAUCCCACGGUUCAAUAAGGAAAGCAAACGUACAAAUGGUUAUGCAAACCUGCACGUAAUCUAAGAAAUCUGUCAAGCGAUACAAUCGCGUGAUGAUUAUCGCGAAAACCGCAAUUCAUCGUUGCGCGAAGAGCGAGUAGCACAUACAGUUGCGUGGGAAAAUUUUCGCUUGAUGUUUUAAAUGAGAUAUCUGAAACAAGUUUCAACUAAUAUUGGAUUUCGGAUAUUCCAGCUAAAAGUGUAAGGAACAUGCACGGAAUGUAGAAAUGCGAGUCCGGCGCUGCUUAAACAACAAGAAGGAAAGAAAGAAAAAAAAGAAGGAGGACAUGGGAUAUACAAUGGUGACUCUGAGUUUGGAACAUUCUUUUCCAAGAGAACGGAUCAGUUGCGAAUUACACGGUUCCUCUGACACUUUUUAUCCUCGCGAUGAGUAGGAUACGAUGCAAUGAAAAAAAAAUGUUGCCUGGAACUUCAAGGUCCAAAUCAAUUUUGCGGCUACAUUUUUUUUUGCAGAUCUUCACCGAUCCAAAGGUGUAGCAUAACGUUACGGUGCUCGUGACAAAUCAUCCUUGAACACCUUGUACUCUUCACGAAUCGCAGAUAAGAAAUAUUAUACAAAUAAAACUAACGAAGAAAAACGGAACUAUCGAACCUCGAAAUUCAGUGUUGUACUCAGGCGAAAGUAAAUUUAAUAUAUUAUAAUCCAAUAAUUCAUAACGAUUAUGUGUUUCUUAGUAGGAAAAAAAUAUAAUAUUGCUAUAAAUUUGAAAUAUUUGCAAUUUCUUAUAAAGCGCGACGAUUGUGUGUGUGUUUAUUGCAUAUAGAAAUAUAUGAAACAUAUCUAUCUAUCUAUCGAACGAAAAAUCUUACAAAAAGAUUGCAAGGACUAUUUAUACAAGUUAUACAAUAACAGGGAAGAUUAUAAGAAGGAUAGGAAAGACGAAUAGAAAACGAAGCAGAUUAAGAUAAAAAGAAACUAUAAAAUUUAUCAUAAAGAAACGUUACGUCAUUAGAGGAAGUAGUGAAAUUUAAGAUAAGGGUUCCUGGAGUAAAUAUAUUCUUUUUGAAAUGAAACGCGUUUCCAAUGAAACAAUUGCAAAAGUAUUAUAAAGUAGCUCGUAUAAUAAUCCGUGUGAAAGAAGGCGAAGAAAAAAUGGGAAAAUAUUUAAAAUGCAACGGAAGAUAACGUAAAUAUUCUACAUUUACUAAUAAAUCAAAAUGAUUUAGCAAAUUUUAAAACGUAAUGAACAAGUUUUAAUAAAUAAUAGGUAACAGUCUAAUAUAGGGUGUAUAUUGAAAUUGAAUGAAAGCAUGUGUGAGAAAUCUACAUAGAUCAAUAUCAUCUUGUAGUCGACAGGCAAAAAUUAAUAAAAUAUAUGUAUAAUACAUAAUGAGUAAUAUUAAUUGCGUA